rnacentral:rRNA from 1 species
AGAGUUUGAUCAUGGCUCAGGACGAACGCUGGCGGCACGCUUAACACAUGCAAGUCGAACGAGAGAAGAGGAGCUUGCUUUUCUGAUCUAGUGGCGGACGGGUGAGUAACACGUGAGCAAUCUGCCUUUCAGAGGGGGAUACCGAUUGGAAACGAUCGUUAAUACCGCAUAACAUAAUUGAACCGCAUGAUUUGAUUAUCAAAGAUUUAUCGCUGAAAGAUGAGCUCGCGUCUGAUUAGCUAGUUGGUAAGGUAACGGCUUACCAAGGCGACGAUCAGUAGCCGGACUGAGAGGUUGAUCGGCCACAUUGGGACUGAGACACGGCCCAGACUCCUACGGGAGGCAGCAGUGGGGAAUAUUGCACAAUGGAGGAAACUCUGAUGCAGCGAUGCCGCGUGAGGGAAGAAGGUUUUAGGAUUGUAAACCUCUGUCUUCAGGGACGAAAAAAGACGGUACCUGAGGAGGAAGCUCCGGCUAACUACGUGCCAGCAGCCGCGGUAAUACGUAGGGAGCGAGCGUUGUCCGGAAUUACUGGGUGUAAAGGGAGCGUAGGCGGGAUCGCAAGUCAGAUGUGAAAACUAUGGGCUUAACCCAUAAACUGCAUUUGAAACUGUGGUUCUUGAGUGAAGUAGAGGUAAGCGGAAUUCCUAGUGUAGCGGUGAAAUGCGUAGAUAUUAGGAGGAACAUCAGUGGCGAAGGCGGCUUACUGGGCUUUAACUGACGCUGAGGCUCGAAAGCGUGGGGAGCAAACAGGAUUAGAUACCCUGGUAGUCCACGCCGUAAACGAUGAUUACUAGGCGUGGGGGGACUGACCCCUUCCGUGCCGCAGCAAACGCAAUAAGUAAUCCACCUGGGGAGUACGACCGCAAGGUUGAAACUCAAAGGAAUUGACGGGGGCCCGCACAAGCAGUGGAGUAUGUGGAUUAAUUCGAAGCAACGCGAAGAACCUUACCAGGUCUUGACAUCGUAUGCAUAGCUCAGAGAUGAGUGAAAUCUCUUCGGAGACAUAUAGACAGGUGGUGCAUGGUUGUCGUCAGCUCGUGUCGUGAGAUGUUGGGUUAAGUCCCGCAACGAGCGCAACCCUUACUGUUAGUUGCUACGCAAGAGCACUCUAGCAGGACUGCCGUUGACAAAACGGAGGAAGGUGGGGAUGACGUCAAAUCAUCAUGCCCCUUAUGACCUGGGCCUCACACGUACUACAAUGGCUGUCAACAGAGGGAAGCAAAGCCGCGAGGUGGAGCGAACCCCUAAAAGCAGUCUUAGUUCGGAUUGUAGGCUGCAACCCGCCUACAUGAAGUCGGAAUUGCUAGUAAUCGCAGAUCAGCAUGCUGCGGUGAAUACGUUCCCGGGCCUUGUACACACCGCCCGUCACGCCAUGGGAGUCGGUAACACCCGAAGCCUGUAGUCUAACCGCAAGGAGGACGCAGUCGAAGGUGGGAUUGAUGACUGGGGUGAAGUCGUAACAAGGUA